CCUGCCCAGAAGCGGGGGAUAACACCUGGAAACAGAUGCUAAUACCGCAUAACAACUUGGACCGCAUGGUCCGAGCUUGAAAGAUGGCUUCGGCUAUCACUUUUGGAUGGUCCCGCGGCGUAUUAGCUAGAUGGUGGGGUAACGGCUCACCAUGGCAAUGAUACGUAGCCGACCUGAGAGGGUAAUCGGCCACAUUGGGACUGAGACACGGCCCAAACUCCUACGGGAGGCAGCAGUAGGGAAUCUUCCACAAUGGACGAAAGUCUGAUGGAGCAACGCCGCGUGAGUGAAGAAGGGUUUCGGCUCGUAAAACUCUGUUGUUAAAGAAGAACAUAUCUGAGAGUAACUGUUCAGGUAUUGACGGUAUUUAACCAGAAAGCCACGGCUAACUACGUGCCAGCAGCCGCGGUAAUACGUAGGUGGCAAGCGUUGUCCGGAUUUAUUGGGCGUAAAGCGAGCGCAGGCG
rnacentral:rRNA from 1 species